rnacentral:rRNA from 1 species
UCCUGCCAGUAGUCAUAUGCUUGUCUCAAAGAUUAAGCCAUGCAUGUCUAAGUACAGACUGAAACAAAGUGAAACCGCGAAUGGCUCAUUAAAUCAGUUAUGGUUUAUUGGAUCUUACCAUGUCCUACUUGGAUAACUGUGGUAAUUCUAGAGCUAAUACAUGCAAACCAGCUCUGACCGCAAGGGAAGAGCGCUUUUAUUAGAUCAAAACCAAUCGGGCUUCGGUCCGUUGUCACUGUGGUGACUCUGAAUAACUUUGAGCUGAGCGCAUGGUCUCUGCACCGGCGCCAUAUCCUUCAAGUGUCUGCCUUAUCAGCUUUCGAUUGUAGGUUACGCGCCUACAAUGGCUGUAACGGGUAACGGGGAAUCAGGGUUCGAUUCCGGAGAGGGAGCCUGAGAAACGGCUACCACAUCUAAGGAAGGCAGCAGGCACGCAAAUUACCCACUCCCGGCACGGGGAGGUAGUGACGAAAAAUAACGAUGCGGGACUCUUCCGAGGCCUCGCAAUCGGAAUGAAUACACUUUAAAUCCUUUAAUGAGGAUCUAUUGGAGGGCAAGUCUGGUGCCAGCAGCCGCGGUAAUUCCAGCUCCAAUAGCGUAUAUUAAAGUUGCUGCGGUUAAAAAGCUCGUAGUUGGAUCUCAGUUCCGGACCGAUGGUACACCGCCCGGUGUAUACUGUCGGCUUCCGAACAGCCACAGGCUGGCUCGGUCAGGGUGCUCUUCAUUGAGUGCCCUGGCACGGUCGGCAAGUUUACUUUGAAAAAAUUAGAGUGCUCAGUGCAGGCUGUUAUGCCCGCAUAAUUUGUGCAUGGAAUAAUGGAAUAGGACCUCGGUUCUAUUUUGUUGGUUUUAAGAACCCGAGGUAAUGAUUAAUAGGAACAGUCGGGGGCAUUUGUAUUGCGACGUUAGAGGUGAAAUUCUUGGAUCGUCGCAAGACAAACUACUGCGAAAGCAUUUGCCAAGAAUGUUUUCAUUAAUCAAGAACGAAAGUUAGAGGUUCGAAGGCGAUCAGAUACCGCCCUAGUUCUAACCAUAAACGAUGCCAACCAGCGAUCCGCCGGCGUUAUUCCCAUGACUCGGCGGGAAGCUUCCGGGAAACCAAAGUUUUUGGGUUCCAGGGGAAGUAUGGUUGCAAAGCUGAAACUUAAAGGAAUUGACGGAAGGGCACCACCAGGAGUGGAGCCUGCGGCUUAAUUUGACUCAACACGGGGAACCUCACCAGGCCCAGACACUGGAAGGAUUGACAGAUUGAGAGCUCUUUCUCGAUUCAGUGGGUGGUGGUGCAUGGCCGUUCUUAGUUGGUGGAGCGAUUUGUC